rnacentral:snRNA from 1 species
GUAUUCACAUUGACAGCACACAUACUAAAAUUGGAACAAUACAGAGAAUGUCAGCAUGGUCUCUGCACAAGGAUAACCCACAAAUUUGUGAAGACUUUCAUAUUUAA